AAUUUAAGCUUCAUAUAUAAAGGUUGCCUUUUGUUAGAAAA
rnacentral:tRNA from 1 species